rnacentral:rRNA from 1 species
AGCAUACAAGGCAGACGGCUCAGUAACGCGUAGUCAACCUAACCUAUGGACGGGAAUAACCUCGGGAAACUGAGAAUAAUGCCCGAUAGAACACUAUAUCUGGAAUGGUUUGUGUUCCAAAUGAUUUAUCGCCGUAGGAUGGGACUGCGGCCUAUCAGUUUGUUGGUGAGGUAAUGGCCCACCAAGACUAUUACAGGUACGGGCUCUGAGAGGAGUAGCCCGGAGAUGGGUACUGAGACACGGACCCAGGCCCUAUGGGGCGCAGCAGGCGAGAAAACUUUGCAAUGUGCGAAAGCACGACAAGGUUAAUCCGAGUGGUUUGUGCUAAACGAACCUUUUGUCGGUCCUAGAAACACCGAUGAAUAAGGGGUGGGCAAGUUCUGGUGUCAGCCGCCGCGGUAAAACCAGCACCUCAAGUGGUCAGGAUGAUUAUUGGGCCUAAAGCAUCCGUAGCCGGCGCUGUAAGUUUUCGGUUAAAUCUGUACGCUCAACGUACAGGCUGCCGGGAAUACUGCAGCGCUAGGGAGUGGGAGAGGUAGACGGUACUCGGUAGGAAGGGGUAAAAUCCUUUGAUCUAUUGAUGACCACCUGUGGCGAAGGCGGUCUACCAGAACACGUCCGACGGUGAGGGAUGAAAGCUGGGGGAGCAAACCGGAUUAGAUACCCGGGUAGUCCCAGCUGUAAACUAUGCAAACUCAGUGAUGCAUUGGCUUGUGGCCAAUGCAGUGCUGCAGGGAAGCCGUUAAGUUUGCCGCCUGGGAAGUACGUACGCAAGUAUGAAACUUAAAGGAAUUGGCGGGGGAGCACCACAAGGGGUGAAGCCUGCGGUUCAAUUGGAGUCAACGCCGGA